rnacentral:lncRNA from 1 species
CUUGCUUUACAAAGUAUAAAUGCGUAGUACAAGUUGGACACAUAUUAAAGAUCCUAUAGCAUGUCAUUACAUAGUUCUUAAUUAAGUAGUAUAUAUAAAAGCAAGAGUGAAGCCUUCCUUACUUGCUUUUAGUCUAAUUUUAAGAAUCUUGUAUUGUCGUAAUACAUGCAAUUUUGCUUGAAAAUGCUCCUGGCACCUAGCUGUAGAAGUUAGAAUGGAAAUUGCAACAAUAAAAUCCUAACUCUAAUAGAAUAUUAACUAAAUUCUAAUUAGAUCAUAACAAUGCUAAGUAAGCUUUAAUCAAAUUUAAAGAAACCUCAAAAUCCUAAAAUCCUAAAUCCUAAAUCAAAAUCCUAAAACCUCUAAAUCCUAAAUCAAAGUCUAACAAAACCCUAAAUCAAACCCUAAUCAAAUCCUAAAUCUUAAAUCAAAAUCUAAUCAAAUCCUAAAUCAAAUCCUAAUCAAAUCCUAAACCCUAAAUCUAACCCUAAAUCAAAUCUUAAACCUUAAAUCAAAUCCUAACCUCUAAACUAAAUCUUAAAUCCUAAAUCAAAUCCUAACCAAAUAUUAAUCCUAAAUAAAACCCUAAUCAAAUCCUAAAUCCUAAUCCUAAAUCAAAUCCUAAUCAAAUCCUAACCCUAAAUCAAGCCCUAACCAAAUCCUAACCA